GGAUCACUGUGGACGAAGCUUUCUCAUCAACCACUUCUUUCGCAGAGCGGGGUGCAAUGCUAAAAACAUCCUGGCUCUCUUCUCAUCCUCCAAAAGGUCAAUGGCAUCCAGUAGUAAAUCAUCAUCAAUGUCCGGUAUAGCCUUUAAGACAUCAAUAACUUUCUCUAUGGAUACAGAUGCCUCUUUCUUCAGUUUCUUCUUCAACGGUGACUCUGCAACUGCCAUAUCUCCUAGAGCAUUGGCCGCAACUCCAUCCGUUCUUUGUGGUUUCUUAGACUGGUGUAAGGUUUGUGUGACAUCGUGACUGUGCCUUUCCUUUUGAUCUGAUAAAUUCUUGACAUCACUUGAAUCCAAUGCUUUUUUCUGAACAUUUUGUUUGUCAACAAUAGGUGUAGCAUCUCCGUCAAUUUUCUUAGCAAAGGUUCCCUUGUCAAGAGCUUCAUUGCAGCUUGAUGGAACUUCUUUCAAAAGUCUAGCCUCAUUUCCGCAUAUGACACACAAAUCGGAAUAAUAUGGCAUAGCUUUAUUUCUGUACAUGUGGAAACUGGGAUGUGCCUGCGUUUAUAACAAAGUAAGGUACGAGCAAUAGAAUGUCUCCAUUAAAUUCCUGAUCAAGAACAAUUAAAGUAUACCUCUAUAUAUUUGUUCCAAACCGGAUCAUCAGCUACCACCUUUUGUUGUGUUUCAUCCCAAGUAAAACCCUUUUGAUCAAGCAGGGCGUUAACGCUACUGUAAUGUUUCCUGAGGACAUUGUACCGAUUUUUCAAUACAGCCCUACCAUGCUGAAACCCGAAUUUCUCAUUAAAGCAUGUGAUCAUGGUAAUCCAUGAUUUCUUCUUGAAAGUGCAACCAACCUUAUUCCCUUUGCGCACUUCAUCCAACAUUAGUUCAACGAAAAAUUGGUCCAUAAUCUGUGACCAGUCAAUUUUUUUAGGAUCAGCAUCAGUGGGAUCUUGAAAUUCCAUUCCUCUUGCUACAAAAUUUGAGAAAAUUACAGACAAUAUUUCAAUGCAUUUGCACAUAUUUAUCAAACAGAAAAUUAGCUUUGCCAAAUUGACAUCAAUUAAUAACGAUUUCCCACACAAUAUGUACCUUCGUUCUCAAAGUCCAUAUCGUAACAUGAAAGACUGUAUCUUCCAUCAGCAACUGCAUGGCCACAUAUUAUGCACAACUCGUCAUAAUGCGAAAUGACUUUUGUUCUGUACGGUUGCAUUUCAGGGUGGGCCUGCAUAGAACAUGUGCAACCUAAUAUAACUCUCGUGUGUGGACAGUAAAAUUUAAAGAUUAAACGGUGUACCUUGAUAUAAUUAUUCCACACAUUAUCGUCAGCUGUUAUCAUCUGUUGCGUUUCAUCCCAUCUAAAGUUUCCCUGAUCAACAAGACUCUUCAUCUCGCUGUACUGCUUCCUCAAUCUUUUGUAUCGAUUUUUCAGAAUAUCUGUAUCAUACUUAAACCCAAAUUCAUUAUUAAAGAGUACAAUCAUAUCUGCCCAAGCUUGUUUCCUAAAUCCAUGACCGGUUUUGUUCCCUUUGCUCACUUGUUCUAGCAUAAGGUCAAUGAAAAAAUUGUCUUGUGAUGGAGUCCAGUUAGCCCUUACAUGGUCACUGGUGGUAGAAGAACCGGCAUACAUCCUUAACCUGCAACUUAAGAAUUUUGUCAAUAGAAAGGAUAGCUCACGCUAGUCAAAUUGCAAUAACCAUAGAUGUAGCUGAGCCCAAUACGCAUAUUGGCUAGAUGAAGACCAGAUUGUAACCGUAGAUAAACGUAUGCAAAGUAUUGUUCAGUUAAACAUAUCAAGCUGCAUUUGCACUAUACUACGUUUGUUUCCCUUUCUCUCUAAAAUCAAGUAAAAACGACAAAGAAGUUGUAUGCCAUAGUUGAAGAAGCGAAAACAAUUUUCGUCCCAAUUGGGAAGAAAGUGCAAACAACUUAAAGAGUCACAUUUUUCUUUCUCACACAUUCCAUCACCGUCUCGUUCUCUAUUCCCCCUUCCAUAGCUACAACCUUCACUAUAACAGAACUGCUACGACUCCACAGCUGCCACCACCAUCAUCACUUUACCAACUUAGACCGCUUAGACUAAUAAUGUCACCGCUACCAGUAUUGUAUGUAAUAUGUAUUGUCACCUACUAGAUACUUGUAACAUAGCUUCUUAUCCUAAUCUUCAUGGAUACACAAUUUUCAAUCUAGUUCAUUCCGCAACACCUGUGCCGCCCAGCACCACAACUAAAUUUUCAAACUAGCUCUACCAUUUCCUUAUUACAUUGCCCCCUUCCCCACCAAGACUGCCUUAACAUAACCUUGUUCACCAUUUUCUUCUGACACUACCCCUUUUCCUUCCAACUAUUCUCAUUUUUUUUUUCCUUCUUACAUAAUUCACUUUCAGCCUUACAACUCCAAAGGAAAUAGUAAAAAAAAAAGUCUUAGGCUGCUAAAAUGUUUUAACUAUGGCAAUUUUAAACUUUAAUUCCAUGGAAUACUGAAAGAAAAAUGAUUUCCGCACACUUCUUUUCUCCUUCUGCACACCACAGUUUAUUUAUGUCCCUCGAUUCUCAUUAAGUGUGUGCACGGAAAGAAAUGGGGUGUGCGGAGAUCACUUCUCUUCCCGAAAAGACUUUAGCGUACCAAAUGACACUAUAAUCCCACUGAAGUUACCAAAAUUUCACUCUCUUUUCACAUUAUUUUUGUAUAGUAUUCUUCACAUAACCCAGCACCAAAACAAAAAAGCACAACCUUUUCUACUAAUUCCUACGAUCUCUCAACUGCCAAAUGCAACAAGAAAUUACAGAUAGUCGGAUCAGUUGAAAUUUCUCCGUUUCAAUUUCAAUGGGAUCAAAAUUCUGAUUUCCCAAACGCGUAAUUGCUUCAAAGCUAUUCCAUGGAAACCUAAUUCUCUGUUUGGUUGCUGAGAAAACGUUUCUGGACGAUUUCUCCAAAUAUUCAGAGAAAAUAAAAUGCAAAUAUAAAUUAUCGAUUAGAUUGACAAUAUUAUAUGAAUAAAUAAUAUAAAUCAGAAAUUCGAUGAAACAAACAGCGGUGAAGAAUAGAAAUUGCGAAGUACCCGUUGUGACUGCCGUAUGAGCCAACGAGCUGUCGCUGACAAAUGGGGAAUAAGGUUGUCCUGGGAUAAGAGAGAGAAUACUUCCGUUUGGCUUUGGAUUUGUUUUCUUUGCAUUAGUUUUUUAAUUCUUUUGCUUUGAUAUUUCUUCUACUAAAAAUGUGGUUUCGUUACCGCAGUUCACUAUUCUAGGAGCUCAAAAGGCUUAUAAAGUUAUUUUAGCAACCCGUUG
rnacentral:lncRNA from 1 species